UCUUAUGGACGAGCAAAGGAAAGUGUUCUCUUAAGAUGGAAUGUACUCCUGAUGAAGAUGCUGUGAA
rnacentral:pre_miRNA from 1 species